AUGGCUUCCAUGGAGCAGAGGAAAGUAUGCCCUCUUCAUCUAGGCAGAGGAGCGGGACGGCCAGGAGCUGUCGUCCUGCUACCCUAUGCCAAUGGAUGCGCCUCCCAGAUGGCUAGCAACGCCAGAUCCAGCUGGAAAGGACUCUACGCUACCAAUCCUAUUAUUGAAGUUAUUAUGGGGGGUGAGAGGUGGAUAACAAUAGCGAGAAGGAGCAUGCCAUCGAGGAGUGCAAGCAGCGGCACUCCUCCGCAAUGGGGUAUGGCUGCAGGGGAGGGGACACGGCCAACGACAGGAAGAAGGAGCAAGUCGUCGAGGAGUACAAGCAGCAGGUUUCCUGUGACUGGAAGUCUGAAACUGAAGAUAGGGCAUAUUGUUUUGGUUCUGUGGCCGGAGAUAUUGUGGCUUGAUUUCCCUAGAGCAAUCGGACCCUUCCAAGAUAGGGUCGAGUUGGGCUAUAUUUCUUUCAUUGAGGCGAGGGUGGCGUACUCGCCUUUUUUCUUGAAGUUGGGCGUCCGUUGUCUAUGCGGCAAGUUUCUACUGAUUUUCAGUAUGAAAUAUUGGGGCCCGAGUACUUCAGUUCAUUUCACAGUGGAUAUGGCACACACAUGUAUCAUUGCUGUUAUCGUAAUUGAUACCAACACCUUGACUGAAUCGCAUAGAAUAGACUGCCCUGAUAAUUCUUGCAGUCCUAAAAUGGUUUCUCAAAACAUGGGAAAAUUUACAUUCUAA
rnacentral:rRNA from 1 species